rnacentral:rRNA from 1 species
UACGUAGGGGGCGAGCGUUGUCCGGAAUUAUUGGGCGUAAAGAGCGUGUAGGCGGCCAGGUAGGUCGGUUGUGAAAACUGGAGGCUCAACCUUCAGACGUCGACCGAAACCAUCUGGCUAGAGUCCGGGAGAGGAGAGUGGAAUUCCUGGUGUAGCGGUGAAAUGCGCAGAUAUCAGGAAGAACACCCGUGGCGAAAGCGGCUCUCUGGAACGGUGCUGACGCUGAGACGCGAAAGCGUGGGGAGCGAACAGG